rnacentral:rRNA from 1 species
UGAGAAUUUGAUCCUGGUUCAGGGUGAAUGCUAGCGGCGUGCCUAAAACAUGCAAGUCGAAUGCUGAUUUAUCAGCAUGGCGAACGGCUGAGUAACACGUAGGAAUCUACCCCUUACUCGGGGAUAACUUGGAGAAAUCCUUGAUAAUACCCGAUGUGGAGGCAACUCCAAAGAUUUAUCGGUAAGGGACGAGCCUGCGGCCUAUCAGGUAGUUGGUGGGGUAAAUGCCCACCAAGCCGAUGACGGGUAGCUGAUCUGAGAGGAUGACCAGCCAGAAGGGCACUGAGACACGGGCCUUACUCCUACGGGAGGCAGCAGUGAGGAAUAUUGCGCAAUGGACGAAAGUCUGACGCAGCGACGCCGCGUGGAGGAUGACGGUCUUCGGAUUGUAAACUCCUGCAAAUAGCGCCGGCUAACUACGUGCCAGCAGCAGCGGUCAUACGUAGGGCGCAAGCAUUACCCGGAUUUAUUGGGCGUAAAGAGUUCGUAGGCGGUGAAAUAAGUCAGUAGUCAAAUCCCCAGGCCUAACCUGGGACAGGCUAUUGAUACUGUUUUACUAGAGUUAGUUAGGGGACAGCGGAACUUAUGGUGUAGCGGUGAAAUGCGUUGAUAUCAUAAGGAACACCGAGGGGGAAGCCAGCUGUCUGGGACUAUACUGACGCUAAGGAACGAAAGCGUAGGGAGCAACACGGAUUAGAUACCCGUUUAGUCUACGCCGUAAACGAUGCCUGCUAGAUGCCUGUUUAUAUGGGUGUCGAAGCUAACGCGUUAAGCAGGCCGCCUGGGGAGUACGGCCGCAAGGCUAAAACUCAAAGGAAUUGGCGGGGACCCGCACAAGCGGUGGAGCAUGCUCUUUAAUUGGCUGUUAACCCAAGAACCUUACCCAGGUUUGACAUGUAAGCAGUAGUGAACCGAAAGGGGAACGACCGGUACUCAAUCCGGAACUUACACAGGUGUUGCAUGGCUGUCGUCAGCUCGUACCGUGAGGCGUACCCUUAAGUGGGUUAACGAGCGCAACCCUUACUGUUAGUUGUAUCACUCUAACGGAACUGCCGCCGUAAGGCGGAGGAAGGUGGGGACGACGUCAAGUCGGUAUUGCCUUUAUGCCUGGGGCUAGAAGCAUGCUACAAUGGCGCGUAUAGCGAGCAGCAACAUAGUAAUGUGAAGCUAAUCUCUUAAAGCGCGUCUCAGUUCGGAUUGAGGUCUGCAAUUCGACCUCAUGAAGUCGGAAUCGCUAGUAAUCGCAGGUCAGCAAAACUGCGGUGAAUACGUUCUCGGGUCUUGCACACACUGCCCGUCACGCCAGCAAAGCUGGGGCCACCCGAAGUCUCAUAGUUGUAUGGGCCCAAGGUGGAAUCAGUGAUGAGGGUGAAGUCGUAACAAGGUAGCCGUAGGGGAAUCUG